UACGUAGGGUGCGAGCGUUGUCCGGAAUUAUUGGGCGUAAAGAGCUCGUAGGCGGUCUGUCGCGUCGAUCGUGAAAACUUGGGGCUUAACCCUGAGCUUGCGGUCGAUACGGGCAUGACUGGAGUUCGGCAGGGGAGACUGGAAUUUACGGUGUAGCGGUGAAAUGCGUAGAUAUCGUAAGGAAGACCAGUGGCGAAGGCGGGUCUCUGGACAGUUCCUGACGCUGAGGCACGAAGGUCAGGGGAGCAAACGGG
rnacentral:rRNA from 1 species